rnacentral:tRNA from 1 species
GCCUGGGUGGCUCAGUUGGUUAAGCUUCUGACUCCAGCUCAGGCCAUGAUCUCCUGGUUCGUGAGUUCGAGCCCCACAUCAGGCU